UAUACCGUGAAACUGCGAAUGGCUCAUUAAAUCAGUUAUCGUUUAUUUGAUAAUACCUUACUACUUGGAUAACCGUGGUAAUUCUAGAGCUAAUACAUGCUGAAAAUCCCGACUUCGGAAGGGAUGUGUUUAUUAGAUAAAAAACCAAUGCCCUUCGGGGCUUUUUGGUGAUUCAUGAUAACUUUACGGAUCGCAUAGCCUUGCGCUGGCGACGGUUCAUUCAAAUUUCUGCCCUAUCAACUUUCGAUGGUAAGGUAUUGGCUUACCAUGGUUUCAACGGGUAACGGGGAAUUAGGGUUCGAUUCCGGAGAGGGAGCCUGAGAAACGGCUACCACAUCCAAGGAAGGCAGCAGGCGCGCAAAUUACCCAAUCCCGACACGGGGAGGUAGUGACAAUAAAUACUGAUACAGGGCUCUUUUGGGUCUUGUAAUUGGAAUGAGUACAAUUUAAACCUCUUAACGAGGAACAAUUGGAGGGCAAGUCUGGUGCCAGCAGCCGCGGUAAUUCCAGCUCCAAUAGCGUAUAUUAAAGUUGUUGCAGUUAAAAAGCUCGUAGUUGAAACUUGGGCCUGGCUGGCGGGUCCGCCUCACCGCGUGCACUCGUCCGGCCGGGCCUUCCUUCUGAAGAACCUCAUGCCCUUCACUGGGCGUGCUGGGGAAUCAGGACUUUUACUUUGAAAAAAUUAGAGUGUUCAAAGCAGGCCUUUGCUCGAAUACGUUAGCAUGGAAUAAUAAAAUAGGGCGUGCGUUUCUAUUUUGUUGGUUUCUAGAGACGCCGCAAUGAUUAACAGGAACAGUCGGGGGCAUCAGUAUUCAGUUGUCAGAGGUGAAAUUCUUGGAUUUACUGAAGACUAACUACUGCGAAAGCAUUUGCCAAGGAUGUUUUCAUUAAUCAGUGAACGAAAGUUAGGGGAUCGAAGACGAUCAGAUACCGUCGUAGUCUUAACCGUAAACUAUGCCGACUAGGGAUCGGGCGAUGUUCUUUUUCUGACUCGCUCGGCACCUUACGAGAAAUCAAAGUUU
rnacentral:rRNA from 1 species